CCAUCUAUGUGCAUGAUGUCACCACUUUGUGCAAAUUUGCAUUUUUUAAUUUAUUUUUUAUUUUUUGCAUUUUUUGUUUACGUAGAUAUAAUAGAGGUAUAAUUUAAAAAAAAAAAAUCACUUUAAAUAGUUAGCAUUUUCUUGCCCCCAAAAUGCUAUUGGCAUAUCAUUGAAUGGCCAAAAAGCAUAAGUUAUUUUCCAUUUAAAACAGUGUUGUGUAAAUGCCCAGUAAAACAGAGGCUGGUACUCUUUUAGCACAUUUGGAGCUCAUCGGAUUGUCAGCAAUAAAAGGGAUAGCUGAUGGUAUUAUAGCAAAAUAAACCCCUGGGCAAUUUCAUCCAAUGUAUGGAAGUUAAUUUACACAUUUUCCAGAACAAACAAACAAAUAAAUAAAUAAAUAACAGAAAUGGUUUGAGUAUGUAAUUGCUAUGUAUGUGUAUGUCUUUUUACUAUAUAUUAUUAUAAUGUUUUUUGUACUCUUGUUUUGUAGUUCUGUAGUUUGUAGUUUGUUCUGCUCCUGUUUUCUUAGUCUUGUUUGUAUUCAACUGUGUCUAGUUAUCUGUGUGUCCCUUGUUCUACUUCUAUGACAGUUUGGUUAUUAUUGUCAUUUAAUGGACCCCGAAGCUCUAUUACUUAGUGGAUUGCCAUUUAUGGUAACCCCAGAGUCACAUCAACAGCGUCAUGCACUUAUUAUUUUCCAGCAUUAUGCACUUAUUAUUACGCUUGUCAUGUGACACACAGCAGUAGGCUUAUGUUUUACUUAAUUUUUCCUUUUUUAUUAAAAAUAUUCCCAAACGUGUUAACAACAUCAUGAAAUAUCUAUGUGUGUGUGAUGGGCAAAGUAGCCUAAUGUUAGUGUAAUCAAUUAGCUACGCCGUCUUUUUACUUAAAGGGGUCAUCGGAUGCCCAUUUUCCACAAGUUGUUGUGAUUCUUUAGGGUCUUAAUGAAAAGUCUAUAACAUACUUUGGUUAAAAUUUCUCAAUGGUAGUCAAAACCUGUCAAAAACUGCUCUGUUCACAGCAAUCAGUUUAUAUCGCAUGUGCCUUUAAAUUCUAAUGAGCUCUGCUCACCCCGCCCCUCUCUUCCGUGGGGAGACAAGCCAUUCUCUCAUAGAGACUGUGAACUUUAACCGCAUUCUUCAUGAAACUUGCUAAUUAACACAUUAUUAGGAGAGGAGAUUUGCAAAGAUCCAUAAAAAACCUUAUACUCACUUCUUUUGUAGGUGAAGCUGGAUCACGAAUGAUUCGCGUGAACAUAAAUGCAUUUAGGUACACUCUAAAAAAAGUUGGCUCUUUAAAGGUUAUUCACAUGUAGUAACGGUUAUAUUUAGAACCAUAGCAUCCUGAAGAACCCUUUUAUGCUGAAAUGGUUCUUUGUGUUAGAGUUUAGGGUUCUUUAUUCCUGCCCUUUUGUUUUUCAAAUCUGUAACUGCACUGUCAAAGCACCUCAUUACUGAUUUCCAGGAGUUCAGUGAUACAACUACACAGACUGUCAACACACUCUCAACAGUUUUUUGGUCACAUGUAAAUGUGAGCAGCUCAUUUAAGCUGAGGAUACUUCUCUCCUCUUCUCCACUAAAUGCAUCACGUCCCACAACCUCAUCAUCUGCAGAUUAACUGCCACUCAGUCACACCAUAAUGAUGGACUUAAAGGCAUAUGAAAAUAUUUCACUGGAACUUGGUCUUCACCACAUCUAUUUUUUGUUUUUAUUUUGUUUUACUUCUUUGUGUAUUUAUUCAUGUUCAUUUUCAAUUGUCAUUUUUUUAUGUAUUCCGCUAAUAACUGUUGUUAAGAGCACGGACAUAUCAAUAUUACGUCAA